GGAAUAUUGGACAAUGGGCGCAAGCCUGAUCCAGCCAUGCCGCGUGUGUGAAGAAGGCCUUCGGGUUGUAAAGCACUUUCAGCAGGGAGGAAUUGCAGUUGGUUAAUAGCUGAUUGUUUGACGUUACCUGCAGAAGAAGCACCGGCUAACCCCGUGCCAGCAGCCGCGGUAAUACGGAGGGUGCAAGCGUUAAUCGGAAUCACUGGGCGUAAAGCGCGCGUAGGCGGGGCUUUAAGUCAGCUGUGAAAGCCCAGGGCUUAACCUUGGAAUUGCAGUUGAUACUGGAGCUCUGGAGUACAGUAGAGGAAGGUGGAAUUUCAGGUGUAGCGGUGAAAUGCGUAGAGAUCUGAAGGAACAUCAGUGGCGAAGGCGGCCUUCUGGACUGAUACUGACGCUGAGGUGCGAAAGCGUGGGGAGCA
rnacentral:rRNA from 1 species